rnacentral:rRNA from 1 species
UACGUAGGGCGCAAGCGUUAUCCGGAAUUAUUGGGCGUAAAGAGCUCGUAGGCGGUUUGUCGCGUCUGCCGUGAAAGUCCGGGGCUCAACUCCGGAUCUGCGGUGGGUACGGCCAGAUUAGAGUGAUGUAGGGGAGACUGGAAUUCCUGGUGUAGCGGUGAAAUGCGCAGAUAUCAGGAGGAACACCGAUGGCGAAGGCAGGUCUCUGGGCAUUAACUGACGCUGAGGAGCGAAAGCAUGGGGAGCGAACAGG